GACGAACGCUGGCGGCGUGCCUAACACAUGCAAGUCGAACGCAUCUUUCCUGCCUUGUGCUGGCGCUCGAUUGGCGAACGGGGGAGUAACACGUGAGUAACCUGCCCUGUAAUUUAGGAUAACUUCGGGGAACUCGGUCUGAUACCGGAGCGGAUAUCCUGCUGCAGGUUGUGGGUUGGAGAGUUUGGGUGGUUGGGGCUUUACGCGGGGUGUAUGAGCUGGUUGGGGGGGUAAUGGCUUACCAAGGUUUGGACGGGUAGCCGACCGGAGAGAGUGAUCGGCCACACUGGGACUGGGACACGGCCCAGACUCCUACGGGAGGCAGCAGUAGGGAAUCGUCGGCAAAGGACGAAAGUCUGACCGAGCAACGCCGCGUGAGUGAAGAAGGUGCCCGGAUCGUAAAACUCUGUUGUUAGAGAAGAACAAGGACGUUAGUAACUGAACGUCCCCUGACGGUAUCUAACCAGAAAGCCACGGCUAACUACGUG
rnacentral:rRNA from 1 species